rnacentral:rRNA from 1 species
GACGAACGCUGGCGGCGUGCUUAACACAUGCAAGUCGAACGGUGAAGCGCUUGCCUUUUUGGUGGGUGUGGAUGAGUGGCGAACGGGUGAGUAACACGUGAGUAACCUGCCCUCUUCUUCUGGAUAACCUCAUGAAAGUGGGGCUAAUACGGGGUAUUCCGGGUCUGUCGCAUGGCGGGUUUGGGAAAGAUUGCGCCUUUGGGUGUUUUCGGUGGGGGAUGGGCUCGCGGCCUAUCAGCUUGUUGGUGGGGUGAUGGCCUACCAAGGCGGUGACGGGUAGCCGGCCUGAGAGGGUGGACGGCCACACUGGGACUGAGACACGGCCCAGACGCCUGCGGGAGGCAGCAGUGGGGAAUAUUGCACAAUGGGCGCAAGCCUGAUGCAGCGACGCCGCGUGAGGGAUGGAGGCCGUCGGGUUGGGAACCUCUUUCGCCAGUGAAGCAGGCCUGCUCCUGUGUGGGUGGGUUGACGGUAGCUGGAGAAGAAGCGCCGGCUAACUACGUG